rfam:Hyphomicrobium denitrificans ATCC 51888, complete genome.
UUGCGGGGCCGGGCCCCUCUGGCAGAGCCAAUGAUGGCGCUGCGAUGUCGGACCGCAUCG